ACGCACGCUGGCGGCGUGCUUAACACAUGCAAGUCGAACGGAAAGGCCCUGCUUUUGUGGGGUGCUCGAGUGGCGAACGGGUGAGUAACACGUGAGUAACCUGCCCUUGACUUUGGGAUAACUUCAGGAAACUGGGGCUAAUACCGGAUAGGAGCUCCUGCUGCAUGGUGGGGGUUGGAAAGUUUCGGCGGUUGGGGAUGGACUCGCGGCUUAUCAGCUUGUUGGUGGGGUAGUGGCUUACCAAGGCUUUGACGGGUAGCCGGCCUGAGAGGGUGACCGGUCACAUUGGGACUGAGAUACGGCCCAGACUCCUACGGGAGGCAGCAGUGGGGAAUAUUGCACAAUGGGCGGAAGCCUGAUGCAGCAACGCCGCGUGCGGGAUGACGGCCUUCGGGUUGUAAACCGCUUUCGCCUGUGACGAAGCGUGAGUGACGGUAAUGGGUAAAGAAGCACCGGCUAACUACGUG
rnacentral:rRNA from 1 species